rnacentral:rRNA from 1 species
UACGAGGGGGGGCGAGCGUUUGUUCGGAAUUAUUGGGCGUAAAGGGUGCGUAGGCGGUUCCGCAAGUCCUGUGUGAAAUCUUCGGGCUCAACUCGAAGUCUGCACGGGAAACUGCGGGGCUUGAGUGUGGGAGAGGUGAGUGGAAUUCCCGGUGUAGCGGUGGAAAUGCGUAGAUAUCGGGAGGAACACCUGUGGCGAAAGCGGCUCACUGGACCAUAACUGACGCUGAUGGCACGAAAAGCUGGGGG